rnacentral:rRNA from 1 species
CACACUGCCAAGAAAAGCCUCUAGCGAGGGAAGAGGUGCCCGUACCGCAAACCGACACAGGUAGGCGAGGAGAGAAUCCUAAGGCGCGCGGGAGAACUCUCGUUAAGGAACUCGGCAAAAUGACCCCGUAACUUCGGGAGAAGGGGUGCUCUUUCGGGUGAAGAGCCUGGAAGAGCCGCAGUGAAAAGGCCCAAGCGACUGUUUAUCAAAAACACAGGUCUCUGCGAAGCCGAAAGGCGAAGUAUAGGGGCUGACACCUGCCCGGUGCUGGAAGGUUAAGGGGAGCGCUUAGCGCAAGCGAAGGUGCGAACCGAAGCCCCAGUAAACGGCGGCCGUAACUAUAACGGUCCUAAGGUAGCGAAAUUCCUUGUCGGGUAAGUUCCGACCCGCACGAAAGGUGUAACGACUUGGGCACUGUCUCAACGAGAGACCCGGUGAAAUUAUACUACCUGUGAAGAUGCAGGUUACCCGCGACAGGACGGAAAGACCCCGUGGAGCUUUACUGCAGCCUGAUAUGGAAUUUUGGUAUCGCUUGUACAGGAUAGGUGGGAGCCUG